GACCAUAACCUCUCUAAUCUGUGCCAUAACGGACUUCUCAUUUCAGCUGGGCUGGUUAAGUCUGUGUUAAAAGUUCUGGUCUUGAAACUUGAAAUGUUAAAUUGCAUUGACUUGCAUCGGCAGUUUUGAAUUUCAAAAGAUGUCAGGGAAAGAUAUCAAAUGUUGUGUGUGCCAAAAACAGUUUAGUGCAGUUUUUAAAUUGGCAAAACACGCGCGGAAGUAUCAUCCAGAACAAGCAGCUGAUAUCAUCCCAAAGAAGAGUUACAAAUACCAGUGUUUACAAUGUAACAAAAAUUUUUCCCUGUUAAAAAAUUUUAAUUACCAUAAGAAGACGCAUAACCAAUCGCAUAACCCACCUUCAAAGAACACAUAUGAUGCUGUGUGUCCGAUUUGCCAGUUGAAGGCACCAAAAGAUAAUUUGAUAUUGCAUUUUAAAGUAGAGCAUGAUAUAAAAUGUGAAACACUAGCAAUAGAAUUUACUACCUUUGAGGAAUUCUCAAAAUGGAAAUCAGAUAUGGAACAUGAUACCAAAAGUAAAUAUGUUGCAGAGCGGGGAUCUCAACGUGGUAAAGAUGGGACCACAAUAAUCAAGUACUGUUGUCAUCGUUCUGGGAAAUAUGUUGCUAGCGGGAAAGGGUUAAGACAUUUAAAAACACAAGGUUCAAAUAAAAUUGACGGUUUCUGCCCUGCUCGUUUAAAAGUAAUCAUCGACAAGAACAACCAGUGUAAAGUGUCUUUUAUCAAACAACACGUGGGUCACGAUGAAGGAGAUUUGCGGCAUUUAUUCCUCACCCUUCAGGAGAGAAAAUGUUUGGCAAACAAAAUGGCAUUAAAAAUUCCUUUCCCCCAAAUUCUAGACGAGAUACGAGACUCAGUGGUGGGAUCACAAUUAGAUCGGAUUCACUUACUGACCAGAAAAGAUCUGAGCAACAUUGAAAGGAGCUUCCACUUACAAUCAUCAGUCGUUCGGCAUGAGAGUGAUGCCGUCAGCGUUGAUGCCUGGGUAAAACAAAGGGAAAGUUCUGGUAGUAUUCUCUUCUACAAACCCCAAGGAACCCAAUCUGAAAGCAAUUCCGAUUUACGAGAAGAGGAUUUUGUACUAAUUAUUAUGAACCAGGGUCAAGAAGAAAUUCUUAAGAAGUACGGUUCAGACUGCAUUUGCAUUGAUAGCACCCAUGGCUUGAACCAAUACGAUUUCGAAAUGCACACUUUAUUAGUGAUUGAUGAUGUACGGGAAGGAUUUCCAUGCGCAUUUUUAAUUUCCAAUCGGUCAGAUGAAACUGUAAUAAAAAUUUUUUUCCAUCAUAUCAAAGAAAGAAUUGGCUUCCAAGUUACUAGUAAAGUUUUUAUGUCUGAUAUGGCAGAAGCCUAUUACAAAGCUUGGAACUUCAUAAUGGGCCCUGCAAAGUAUAGGCUUUUUUGUACUUGGGAUGUGGAUCAGAGUUGGAGGAAAAACCUUUCCAAAAUUAAAACCAAGGAGAAACAAGUUAUGGUUUACAAGUACCUACGGACUUUAUUAGAAGAGAGAGAUGAAAACGCAUUCUUGCGUAUGCUGAAUGACUUCAUUAGGACUAUCACCAAUGACCCAGAGACUAACGAGUUUUCUGAGUACUUCAAAAAUAAUUACAUUAACAAUCGGCAUUGCUGGGCAUAUUGUUAUCGUUUACACUCCGGGCUGAACACCAACAUGCACAUAGAACGCAUGCACAGAACCAUCAAAUGUAUCUAUUUUGGUGGACGAAAAGUCAAGCGUUUGGACAAGGCAUUAGAUGAGAUAGAAAAAUUUAUAAGGGAUCGUUUAUUCAACCGCCGUACAGUCCUGUUUAAAGCCAAAAGCUUUCUACGGCCUUGCUUGUAUCAUACGGUGCUGGAUGGGAAAUUCCUUCAAAUAACUCUUUUGAAGUGUACGAGCUUGAAGAAAAGGAGGGUGGUAUUGCAUGUAAUAACUGCAAGUUGAUGUGCAUGGAUUGUGGUGUUUGCAUUCAUAAGUACACUUGUAGCUGUGUGGAUUCCUGUAUAAAAUUCAACAUGUGCAAACACAUACACCUAUUGUGUAGAUAUAGUAAAAUUCUUUUAAUUUUGGUCGAAUGUUGUAAAACGUUGUUGUCUUUCUUACUCUUCGAGAAAGUAGCUAGGAGCAAGUAAGAUAAACGAUGGGCCGCCCUCGGCUCGAACCAAGGGUAUAUUGUCUUUCUCGCACUUAGGUCAUUUAAAAGAGACACAAAACUUUCGCAAGCCCAACUACGCCACCCACCCAAAAUAUAUCAGUGAUUCUCAACAUGUUCAAAUAAUGCAACAAGCGCAGACAACAAGUAAAUUUUAUUUACAAAAAAUGUAUAAAAAUAUUAAAUGUACAAUAUUUACAAAUCUAUUUACGAUUUAAUUAACAUUUCGCUCUCACUUUCACUAGCUGUAUCGUCAAAUUCUCCGAAAUCACUAUCACUAUCACUAUCAUUAUCCGAAUUCACGUUAAUGAUAAUUUCUUUUUGCACCUGGUCAAGACAAAUUUGUUUUUUUAUGUCUUCCUCUAUUAGUUUGUCGCAAUGAUUGACUGUGUUGCUCCAAACUUCUGGUGUAACUUGAUUUAAAGCUUUUUGCCUCGUUUGUAAAAUAGAUUCAUCGGUAGAAUCAACUUUCCCGAUAUGUUUGUCGUAAAAACUUUUACUUAACGCCCAAACAUGUUCUAUCGGAUUAUAGUUUGUCUACUUUGUAAUUAAUAUCCUGUUUAUUAGACUUUGCAAUUGCUAAAAAUUCUUGUUUAAUAGCAUUUUGUGGGUGCACUAAUUUUUUCUCUUCAAGCCACCUUUUAAUUUCGUCUUUUUUUCAUGAUGACGACAAUGCUGUUUACAAAUUGUUCACAUUAAAAAGUCUUUGGGAUUUAAAAAUCACUUCCAAAUUAAAAUUCAUAAUUAACAUGUAUAUUUGUUGGUAAUAGUAAACAUUUUGUUUAUAAAGUUGACCAGGCAAAUAAACAAAAGACAUAUUAAUUUAUUUAACAACAGUAAACAUAACAAAUACCAAAGUGGCAUCCCAUAGUUUGGGAACGACUGGUAGACCCUCCCAUUUUCCGCUACGCUUGACGGUUUGUAUUUUGUUUCACUCAUUCGCAUAGUAACAACAAAGACAAAACUAGUAGCAGAUAGGAAAGUGUUAUUUGAUACACUUAUACAACAUUCGACCAAAAUUAAAAGAAUUUUACUAUAUCUCAAACAACAGAACACUUCCCUAACUAACUGCUAGUACUGGUCUGUCAGGUUCAGAUGAUGUUACAUCGAUAUUAUAGUCAUUUGAUCAUCUGUGAUACUCCACCAACGUUUUUGGGAUCAUUGUAAAAAAAAACAGAAGAUGAACGUAAUUUGCUGAUCAGCGAAGAUCCCAAAGCCUCUGAAGUUUCCGGAAUUGUAACCGGCCUUACCGUCAAUGAAGCUCUAAACCCCAAAGAGUUUGACAAGCAGUUUAUUGCCAAAGAAAGGCAGAGACUGA